UGUUUCUAGCGGGCGGUGUUUUGUCUCCUUGUUGCUGAUUCCUCUCAGAUUCCCGGAACCUCCGGGCCCAGCAGCAUGACGUCUGCCUUGGAGAACUACAUCAACCGAACUGUUGCAGUAAUAACUUCUGAUGGCAGAAUGAUCGUGGGAACCCUGAAAGGUUUUGACCAGACCAUUAACUUGAUUCUGGAUGAAAGCCACGAGCGGGUGUUCAGCUCUUCUCAGGGAGUAGAACAAGUGGUAUUGGGGUUAUACAUUGUGAGAGGAGAUAAUGUGUAAGUGGAUAAGUCAUUUUGAGAACAUUUUCACUACUGGUAUGCUUGCUUCAUGGAAGAAAGAUUUUCUCCAACAUAUAUGAUGCCUUAUGUUUAGUAGAAUUGUGCACUUAACUUCUUUUGUAGAUACAGUUUUUACAUAAUUCUAAACGUUGUUUGUUGAAAUGCCUCAGGAGUCAACUAAAGUGAUCUCACAAAUCAGACAUUUAUCUACUGAGAUUUCAUGUGUAUUUACUUACUUGAGAAUUGGGGUUUGAACCUAGAAUCUUGUACGUGGAGAACAGGCAGUCAACUACUGAGCUGUGGUCUCUCUUUUUUCAUUUUGAGACCAGGCCUUCCUAAGUUGCUCAGACCGGCGUUGAAGUUUAGAUUCUCCCCACUACCACAGCCUGUGAAUAGCCUAAACCACUACUGUGUGUGUGUCCAGAUAUGUCCAGAACGGGCCCUUCUUUGCAUCAAAUUCAUGCUUAAAGAGGCUUCUUAAUGUUUUGGAA
rnacentral:lncRNA from 1 species